rnacentral:rRNA from 1 species
CCUACGGGUGGCUGCAGUGAGGAAUAUUGGUCAAUGGGCGCGAGCCUGAACCAGCCAAGUAGCGUGAAGGAUGACUGCCCUACGGGUUGUAAACUUCUUUUAUAAAGGAAUAAAGUGAGGCACGUGGGCCUUUUUGUAUGUACGUUAGGAAUAAGGAUCGGCUAACUCCGGGCCAGCAGCCGCGGUAAUACGGGGGAUCCGAGCUUUAUCCGGAUUUAUUGGGUUUAAAGGGAGCGUAGAUGGGUUGUUAAGUCAGUUGUGAAAGUUUGCGGCUCAAGCGUAAAAUUGCAAUUGAUACUGGCAGGCUUGAGUACAGUUGAGGUAGGAGGAAUGCGUGGUGUAGCGGUGAAAUGCUUAGAUAUCACGAAGAACUCCGAUUGCGAAGGCAGCUUACUAAACUGCCACUGACAUUGAUGCUCGAAAGUGUGGGUAUCAAACAGGAUUAGAUACCCCAGUAGUC